rnacentral:rRNA from 1 species
AUACGUAGGGGGCGAGCGUUGUCCUGAAUGAUUGGGCGUAAAGGGCGCGUAGGCGGCCCGGUAAGUCUGGAGUGAAAGUCCUGUUUUUAAGAUGGGAAUUGCUUUGGAUACUGUCGGGCUUGAGUGCAGGAGAGGUAAGUGGAAUUCCCAGUGUAGCGGUGAAAUGCGUAGAGAUUGGGAGGAACACCAGUGGCGAAGGCGACUUACUGGACUGUAACUGACGCUGAGGCGCGAAAGUGUGGGGAGCAAACAGGAUUAGAUACCCUGGUAGUCCACACUGUAAACGAUGAAUGCUAGGUGUAGGGGGUAUCGACCCCUUCUGUGCCGCAGUCAACACAAUAAGCAUUCCGCCUGGGGAGUACGGCCGCAAGGUUGAAACUCAAAGGAAUUGACGGGG